rnacentral:rRNA from 1 species
CAUCAGACGUAAUCUGCCGCAAAAAUCAUGCGGUCAACGCAUUAUUGGAUACCUUGGCGAAACGCCAAGCUAAUACAUGAACAAAAGGGAUGUCCUCCAUUCACGCGGUGCAAGGGCUUGCCCGAACAUCGUAGCGAGGCGUCCAGCGAAUGAAUGAAAGUAAAACCCAUGCCGCGGACGCGGCAGUAACACUCAGAAGUGUUGAAUCAAUUCAUUCCGUGCGAAAGCCGGUCUAACCGGCGUCUUUUGACGAACAACUGCCCUAUCAGCCAGUGAUGGCCGUGUAGUGGACUGCCAUGGCUUUGACGGGAGCGGGGGAUUAGGGUUCGAUUCCGGAGAGGGAGCCUGAGAAAUAGCUACCACUUCUACGGAGGGCAGCAGGCGCGCAAAUUGCCCAAUGUCAAAAAAGAAGAUGAGGCAGCGAAAAGAAAUAGGCCUUCCAGUCACCUUUCGGUGAUUGGAAGAUUACAAUGGGGGAUAUUUAAAGCCAUCCAACAUCGAGUAACAAUUGGAGGACAAGUCUGGUGCCAGCACCCGCGGCAAUUCCAGCUCCAAAAGCGUAUAUUAAUGCUGUUGCUGUUAAAGGGUUCGUAGUUGAACUGGG